CAGAGUGGAACCGCAACUGUCACGCUGGCAGCAGCAUCUUCAAAGAUUCAUAAAAGAUUGUUCAAAAGAUUUUUUUUGGAUGAAGAUGGAGAACUCUCAGCUCCUCCUGCACCAUGCCUGCCUAGAUGCUGUCAUGCUCCCAUCUUGAUGAUAAUGGACUGAACCUCUGAACCUGUAAGCCAGCCCCAGUUAAAUGUUGUCCUUAUAAGACU
rnacentral:lncRNA from 1 species